UGAUACCGAAAGUUGGUCGUAGUUUUCAAGAUGGCGUCUGUAAAUCUCCACGCAAGAAAUCGCAACGAAGACAAAAUAAUGUUAUUUUAUUGUUUUGACGAUGCAAAAGCUUACAUAAAAAGAAAUGAAAUUGAUACGAAUAACCUACAUAAAAAACUUUGGUAAUUCAGUUUUUACUUCAUCCUCCCAUAAGGUUUGUUGGGUCCAUGGGGUGAACCCUUACAUGUAUGUGAGCCUUGGACAUCAGGUUCUGAAAUGCCACCAUGUUACAGACAAGAAUAAGAAGACAAAACUGGAAAAGGAAAAAACAAAGACAGUUAGCAGUGAGCAACAUUCAUAUGCUAAAUAGAAAACAAGGCAUGCAGUGCAUCUCUCCAAAAAAUUGGACUGUCCUGCUUCUAUCAUUCUGAAGGAAGUGUUGAUAUUCACCCCUGAAGAGGGUUCAUCAAGCGAGCUGGACAAAAAAAUGGCUGCUUCUAAUGUGAGGAGUGAUCUGAGUAAAGGCAUCAAGAAGAUAAUGGUGGUGUUUCCUAACAUCGAACACAAGUACCAUACAAGUGGGGAGAACGCUGGGCUGUUGCAACGUAUCGACAGUGAUGUUGCCUCAAGAAUUAAAGAACUUGUGGUGGAAGAGGGCGUUGCAAAUGUUGAAGAAAUGCAACGCCAUCUUACCUCAUUUGUUAUGAAGAAUGUCACACCUGCUCCAUCAAGAACUAAAAGGAGAUUUGCCCCUACAAAAAAGUGAUCAGAUAUCACAUGAAUAAGGCAGCAAAGAAGGGUUGUGAUAGCAAUGAUGACCAACACAACUUAGUUCAGCUUGUGAAUGUGCUUAGUGUGUAAUUAACAAUUACUUCAAUACAGAUAUAUAUUUAUCACAUGCCAUACCCUGCUUCCCCUUGUAAUAUAACCAUUACGAAUAUUUUUAUCUUACACAUGUGUAAUAUACUUUUUAAGGAUUUUCAUUGGCUUAUUUUCGUUUGAUUGACCAAUCGCAUUUUGUUAUGUUGCUGAAAUAACAUUGCAAUGUCAAAUGACGUCACGAAAUGUAAACAACAUUUCGGAUUUAUCAUUAAGUUUGGGAAAAUAUUUUAAAAAAUUUUUGUGUCCGGAGCCAUAUCUUGGAAGAACUUUGGCGGAUUUCAUUGAAACUUGGUAUGAGUAUAAAUAUGGAUAAGAGGAUGAUACAUAACAUUUGACAGAGUUAUACAUCUCAUUAAGCGAAAUUUAAGAAAUUGUGUUAUUAUAUUUUCAUAAAUUACUUUUCGGCCUAAGAUGCUAAGGUCAUACAUUGUUUUGUAAACGAAACAUGCGACAUAAUUUUCCUUUAUCGUUUACAUUUGUUGUAAAUAGUGAGCAUAUUAAAAUUCUGAUGUCUGAUAUUAAUUUGCCUCUUGUGAAUAGAUUUGUACCAUUGUUUUGUUAAAUGGACCUUUUCACGUUUUGGUUAAUUGACGAAAUUGAUUUUUUUUUCAGAUUUCAAAAUUUUCGUUGUAGUUUUAUUUUUGCGAGGAAUCGGUAAUACUGAACAUUUACUAAGCUCUACAGUAUUACAGUAUUUGCAUAUUUUGAUGAUUUAAACACAUUAAAAAUUUAAAGCAUUACGAAGGAAUAAUUUGGCGAGUUCUGUUGUUAUCAUUAUAUUUUGUGACAGUACGAUGAUUGCUGAUAUAAAUCAUAACAUAAACAUAUUACUUACUAUACGAUCACAGAUGGGCGAGUUGUUUAAGUUCUAGUCUUUUACUCAAAUGGUCAGUUGUUUAAGACUAGUUAAGGAUAACUUUUUUAUCUUUGAUUUUAUUCUUGUUCAAUUAUUGAGCUAUUUAAUUCCGAUGUAAAUAUUUAUUUUUUUACA